GAUGAACGCUGGCGGCGUGCCUAAUACAUGCAAGUCGAGCGAACGGACGAGAAGCUUGCUUUUCUGAUGUUAGCGGCGGACGGGUGAGUAACACGUGGAUAACCUACCUAUAAGACUGGGAUAACUUCGGGAAACCGGAGCUAAUACCGGAUAAUAUUUUGAACUGCAUGGUUCAAAAGUGAAAGACGGUCUUGCUGUCACUUAUAGAUGGAUCCGCGCUGCAUUAGCUAGUUGGUAAGGUAACGGCUUACCAAGGCAACGAUGCAUAGCCGACCUGAGAGGGUGAUCGGCCACACUGGAACGGAGCCACGGUCCAGACUCCUACGGGAGGCAGCAGUAGGGAAUCUUCCGCAAUGGGCGAAAGCCUGACGGAGCAACGCCGCGUGAGUGAUGAAGGUCCUCGGAUCGUAAAACUCUGUUAUUAGGGAAGAACAUAUGUGUAAGUAACUGUGCACAUCUUGACGGUACCUAAUCAGAAAGCCACGGCUAACUACGUG
rnacentral:rRNA from 1 species